AUUCCAGAAGAAAAGAUUGCUCUGUCAGAGUGAGGUAGUAGAUUGUAUAGUUGUGGGGUAGUGAUUUUACCCUGUUUAGGAGAUAACUAUACAAUCUAUUGCCUUCCCUGAGGAGUGGACUUGCUGCAUUAUUUUGA
rnacentral:pre_miRNA from 13 species